AGAGUUUGAUCCUGGCUCAGAGCGAACGCUGGCGGCACGCCUAACACAUGCAAGUCGAGCGAGAAAGUGACUUCGGUCGCGAGUAAAGCGGCGAACGGGUGAGUACAACGUGGAUAAUCUACCCUAAGGUCUGGGACAACCCCGAGAAAUCGGGGCUAAUACCGGAUAAGACCACAGUAUCCAAGGAUACAGCGGUAAAAGAUUUAUCGCCUUUGGAUGAGUCCACGCCCCAUCAGGUAGUUGGUAAGGUAAAGGCUUACCAAGCCUAAGACGGGUAGCCGGCCUUAGCGGGUGAACGGCCACAUGGGGACUGAGACACGGCCCUGACUCCUACGGGAGGCAGCAGUGGGGAAUAUUGGGCAAUGGGCGAAAGCCUGACCCAGCGAUGCCGCGUGAGGGAUGAAGGCCUUCGGGUUGUAAACCUCUGUCAGGAGGGACGAUGGGACUUUGUCUUGACGGUACCUCCAGAGGAAGCCCCGGCUACUCCGUGCCAGCAGCCGCGGUAAUACGGAGGGGGCAAGCGUUGCUCGGAAUUACUGGGGCGUAAAGGGUCCGCAG
rnacentral:rRNA from 1 species